rnacentral:rRNA from 1 species
GCAGGCGGACCGGCAGGCAUCUCGUGAAAUCCCACGGCUCAACCGUGGAAUUGCGGGGUGAACCGCCGGUCUCGAGGCAGGUAGGGGUCAGCGGAACUAUGGGUGGAGCGGUGAAAUGCGUAGAUAUCCAUGGGAACGCCAAUGGCGAAGGCAGCUGACUGGGCCUGUCCUGACGCUCAGGCACGAAAGCGUGGGUAGCGAACGGGAUUAGAUACCCCGGUAGUCCACGCCGUAAACGAUGCACACUAGGUCGGGGGAGCUCUCACGUUUUCCCGGCCGAAGGAAAACUGUUAAGUGUGCCGCCUGGGGAGUACGGUCGCAAGGCUAAAACUCAAAGGAAUUGACGGGGGCUCACACAAGCGGUGGAGCAUGUUGCUUAAUUCGAGGCAACGCGAAGAACCUUACCUGGGCUUGACAUGUACGGAUUAGCCUUCUGAAAAGUUGGUGACGCCCUUUGGGUGGAACGUGCACAGGUGCUGCAUGGCUGUCGUCAGCUCGUGCUGUGAAGUGUCGGGUUAAGUCCCUUAACGAGCGCAACCCCUAUCGUUAGUUACUAACGCGUGAUGGCGAGGACUCUAGCGAGACUGCCGGUGUCAAACCGGAGGAAGGUGGGGAUGACGUCAAGUCCUCAUGGCCCUUACGCCCAGGGUUGCAAACGUGCUACAAUGCCGCGUACAGAGCGACGCGAUCCCGCGAGGGGGAGCAAAUCGCAAAAAGCGCGGCCCAGUUCGGAUUGUAGGCUGAAACUCG